UACAGAGGUGGCAAGCGUUGUUCGGAAUUACUGGGCGUAAAGGGCGCGUAGGCGGUCCGAUAAGUCCUGUGUGAAAUCCCUCGGCUCAACUGAGGAACUGCACGGGAGACUGUCGGGCUUGAGUUCGGGAGAGGGAAGCGGAAUUCCGGGUGUAGCGGUGAAAUGCGUAGAUAUCAGGAGGAACACCGAUGGCGAAGGCAGGUCUCUGGGCCACUACUGACGCUGAGAAGCGAAAGCAUGGGGAGCGAACAGG
rnacentral:rRNA from 1 species